CGCGUAGGCGGCCUGGUCAGUCGGAUGUGAAAGCCCCGGGCUUAACCUGGGAAUUGCAUUCGAUACUGCCAGGCUAGAGUGUAGUAGAGGGAAGUGGAAUUCCGGGUGUAGCGGUGAAAUGCGUAGAUAUCCGGAGGAACAUCAGUGGCGAAGGCGACUUCCUGGACUAACACUGACGCUGAGGUGCGAAAGCGGUGGGGAGCAAACA
rnacentral:rRNA from 1 species